GUUUGGAGUAUACGGUAGUCAGAAGAAAUGUUUUGAGUAUAAGUUGGUAAAACUGUGUAUGUAAAAAGAUGGCAGACAAAAGAGUGGGUGAAACAGUAGGCUAUCAUGCUUACCCUUGGUUGGAUUUUGGAGUGGCUUUGGUCUCUUGUACCCUGACAAUCAAUAGACGGUAACAUAAUGUAAUGGAUACAUUAAGCAGUAGAUGCAUAACCUUGAUGGCUAUGGAAACUUUGGGAUUAUUACCUUUUUGUUUUUCUUGAGAAUUCCAGUAGCUGAUUCAAAGUGCUUUCAUUAGGUGACUCCAGUUUUCUCUUUGAGGAAGACUUUUCUGAGGUCAUCGGCUCUUUUUUCUCUGUGUCAGUUUCUUUACUGUCAGUGUAAACACCCCUGACCAUAAAAUCAUUUUUGUACCAUACCCAAUGUACCAUAUCUUGUAUUUGUACACUGAAUCAAGCAUAACUUCUGGUAUGGUUUUAUCGCUGUUUCCGGAAUUCACCAAUUCACCACAGGUUAUCCCGAAUAGCGCAUCAGCCGACGUGCCCAUCAGCAUAGCCUAAGUUGAAUUAUCUUCAUCUUCAAGACGAACUUCCAGUUUGUGCCUGCGGUGGCAACAUGCAUGUGUCAUUUAGGGUACAUAUGCAGGUUUCUGGUAUACAGGCGAAAGUCAUAACUUCAAGAUAUGGUUGUGAAGUGAUGUAUCUGUAACUCAAUAUUACUAUAUUAGUGGUUAUUAUAUUGUGAAUUGCAGAGGGAGGGACAAACAAAUCGGAGAGCAAGCAAAGGUAAAUGUUGGUAUUGGAUAUGGAGUACAUGUAAGAUAUAAUUCUUCUUACAUUGGCACCCCACCUUGUUCACCGUGUUGUGGACAUGUAUCGCAGAGUCAGAUCCCAUUUGCAGCUUAACUUUGCAAGUGGGGCAACCGAGGUAAUACCAUCCUUCACGAAAGAGGAUCUUCGUGAUCUUUGCUCUGCCACAGGUGAAGUUGGUUCAUGCAAGAUAAGGUUGCUGAUAGUGAUCAUGUUUGCGCUGUCUACAUCAGCACGGUUUGUGAAUUGCGUUGAACUUUGAAGCCAGCUUUGGUGCAUAACGUGGUCCAGAGAACCUGAAGUUGUAGUGAAAUGGAUAAAGCUUGAUCUCAAACAACAAUGAAAAGCACUUUGUGUGAU